rnacentral:tRNA from 1 species
GUGUUUGUAGUCGAACGGUUAGGAUAAUUGCCUUCCAAGCAAUAGACCCGGGUUCAACUCUCCGGCAAACGCA